GAUGAACGCUGGCGGCGUGCCUAAUACAUGCAAGUCGAGCGAACAGACGAGUAGCUUGCUCCUCUGACGUUAGCGGCGGACGGGUUAGUAACACGUGGAUAACCUACCUAUAAGACUGGGAUAACUUCGGGAAACCGGAGCUAAUACCGGAUAAUAUAUUGAACCGCAUGGUUCAAUAGUUAAAGACGGUUUUGCUGUCACUUAUAGAUGGAUCCGCGCCGCAUUAGCUAGUUGGUAAGGUAACGGCUUACCAAGGCAACGAUGCGUAGCCGACCUGAGAGGGUGAUCGGCCACACUGGAACUGAGACACGGUCCAGACUCCUACGGGAGGCAGCAGUAGGGAAUCUUCCGCAAUGGGCGAAAGCCUGACGGAGCAACGCCGCGUGAGUGAUGAAGGUCUUCGGAUCGUAAAACUCUGUUAUUAGGGAAGAACAAAUGUGUAAGUAACUAUGCACGUCUUGACGGUACCUAAUCAGAAAGCCACGGCUAACUACGUG
rnacentral:rRNA from 1 species